GGGGCCGACCGGUUUUGACAGGAAGGCAAAAUGCAAUGCUUGCAUACCGGGUGAAGAGUGUACAUCCGCAAUCAAUAUACUCGAUUUUUACUUGGCGAAUCUAAUUACGCCAUGGCCGCCUAAUUCUGAAUUGAAUUCAGAAUAGAGGCUUAAUUGAUUUUGGCAAUAAACCAGAAUCAGGCCACAUCUCACCUGCCUACGCCUUGCUGGCGGGAUUUUGGGGUGUCGAAACGCAAGACUAGUGCUGACCCAUGUUGCCAAGUCAGUGCGAAAAUAUCGCAACUAGCCAUAAACUAGGAGGUUGUCAUCCGGGUUUAUGGUAAAACUAAAUUGACAACUAUGUAUGUAGACGGCCUUGGAUUUCCUUGUCUGGACGUGGGUUCGACUCCCACCGGCUCCACCU
rnacentral:tmRNA from 1 species